rnacentral:misc_RNA from 1 species
CCCUGUACACUAAGUGGACCCCAUCUCUGGAGUCAAUGUAGGAAAGGGCGGGGUCCGAGAAGCCACGUACUGUGGUGCCAGAACGAUAUUAAUGUGGAUGGAUUGAUCUCGCCCAUGAAUGAAGCCUGUCAUUCACCUCAUCGACCUUGUCGUUGUAGCCAGGAAAGAUCACCCAUGGCUAGCGACGGAGGAGUUGACCGAUACUUACAUGGUUAAACCCCAACCCCAGAACGGAGGAACUCGGCGAUGGACACAAGAUCAACACACAGUUUUUUAGGGGAAUGUCUGCUAUCACAUAAGUCGUUACCCCCUAAGAACAGAGAGCUGUCGUCAGCAGUAAACACCAGUCUUGAUCCGAAUGUCACGACAAGUCAAAGUUCAGAGUAUGAUGACGCGCACACAAGUGGCGAGGUAGUGGAUGGCUGUACUAACCAAAGGCACAAUAGUGGUUGUUGCUCACAUACACAAGGGGAUCCUGCACUUUAUGAAGCUUGGUGGCAAAUUGACCUUGGUGAUCAAGUCGUCAUCGAAUACGUCAAGAUAUAUUACAGAGGUGAUGGAUCACAUCAGACAGCUCGAUUCGCUGGUUAUCAAGUAUACCUGUCAAAUACAACAGGUUGGAGAAACAGUGAUAUCUGUCAUAACGACACAACUUCUACACAAAGUAUGGUGGACCUAACCCCACGAAUCACAUCAUGUACAGGCAACACCCGAUACCUGACAAUUUACGUCGACCGUCAAACACUAGCUUACUCUUGGUACUCUGCAAAAGCUAUACUGGAGCUCUGUGAAGUACAAGUUUAUGGUUGUCCAGUAGGAAAAUAUGGUAACAGUAACUGUGGUAGCAACUGCGAUGCGACCUGUGUGAAUAGCCUGUGUCAUCCUAACAGCGGCCAGUGCACAUACUGUGCAGCAGGAUUCUAUAAAGCUGAGGUUAGGUGUAUACCUUGUUCACAAAAUUGUUUAAACGACGUAUGUGAUGUUGAGACAAGCACUUGUUCGGCUUGUAUCAGUGGGUACUAUGGCAGCCAGUGUGACCAAUCGUGUCCAGACAACUGUCCAGACAAGAUAUGUGACCAAUAUAGCGGGGUGUGUACAGAAUGUGUGCCUGGUGUGUUUGGCCCCAACUGCACUCAGACCUGUCCUGUCAGCUGUCAAGACAAGUGUGAAAGAAACACCGUUUUUGAUCUGCACACUUGUUCUAGUGAAUAUAUAGAGCCAGGUAAAACAGGUCAUUUUAACACUUUGUAAUAUGCAUUGUCAAAUUUAAAAUAAUGAAAAUAUACAGAUCAAAAAUUAAAUACCUGCAAUAUAUUUAAUUUCACACGUGUUUUCCUGCUUUGUUUGGUUCUGCAAUAUUGAUGGCCCCAUCGCUCUCUGUGCACAUUUGUGCGCGAUAUGCGGAUAGUGUUCUUUAUGAGUUAUGUGCUAAUACACAACCGUGCUUACACUUUUGUAAUCGUAUAUUGUGUAAGCAUAGGAUUCAUCAAAACAUAAACUUACGUAAUGGAUUGUGAUUUCAAUUUAUAAUUUUUGUUUAGCUGUACACUUCAUUAUUGUGUAAACGAUGACUGACAUUUUUAAGUAAAGUGAAACUUGUCUUGUCUUUACAUGUUAAACAGUAUUUACUUGUACACAUUUUACUAUAAUCUGUGUAUCUUAUCUUUGCAGGGUUUGAUCAUAAUGAUUAUUGAAAAUGUACAUCAAGAUAGAGAAGAAUGUAUACUCAAACCUUUGUUACAAACACCCAUUGGAGGAGAAUUUCUUAAAAUAGAAACGCUAUAUACUGUCACUUAUGAUUCAUUUUAUAUAUAUGUAGUAUUCUUCUGUAAAAUAUCGAAGUCUUGCUUUACUUAUAUCAUUACCAUACUUCAUAUCUUUAUCUUCACCUUUAAACAUAUCAUUUUAUCAAUAUACAACUCCGUAAUUGAUGUCCAUAUGAUAUUUAUGUAAUGGUAAAAUAAAAUAAUAAGCUUAUAUAUACCAUCAGCUUUGUUAAGAAGAACAGUUUAUUUGUAUGCGUAAACAUUUGUUUGUUUGCUUCCUCAUGCACCCCUAGAAGUUGGAAGGUCGAGACUAGCGUGUGACCUUAUCUGUCAAUUGAGCGGAAAAUACUAACAAACAGAAGGCCAUCUUAAAGACUGCUUUUGCGUGUAUCGGAUGAGCGGGUUGAAAGCUACACCAUGUCAACACGUGAAGUGUAAACACUAUGUUGAAAUUGUACGACACAUGUGAUACUAGAACGCAUACUACCGCCUGCGGUAAGUACCGUACCCAUUAACACUAUUCAACAUCAUGUUUGUAAAUGUUUUGAACAUGCUGUGUUGAUAAUCAGCGAAAUUUCAUAUAGUGAGCUAUUUAUAGAAACCUUUGUGUUUUGGGUAAAUACAGAUGCUCUCAUUGUAUUGUGUGUGUUAAUAAAGUGAUUAAUACAACAAGUACACAUGUUAUAUGAAAUUCUACAGCAUUAGUUCACUUUCAUUUGGUAUUGUUUAUAUAGUGAAUAAAGGUUUUAUACACGGUAGUUAUUCGUUAUUUAUAAGGAACGCACGUGUUAGUGUAUGAAGGUGUCGUAUGCCGUACUUAUGUGCAAUUUAUAGUUAAGAUUUUCACUUUCAUAUGUACAUUAAGUCAAGUCAGUGUCAUUGUUGUAAAUAAU